GUAUGGUGCAAGCGUUAUCCGGAUUUACUGGGUGUAAAGGGUGCGUAGGUGGUGAGACAAGUCUGAAGUGAAAAUCCGGGGCUUAACCCCGGAACUGCUUUGGAAACUGCCCGACUAGAGUACAGGAGAGGUAAGUGGAAUUCCUAGUGUAGCGGUGAAAUGCGUAGAUAUUAGGAGGAACACCAGUGGCGAAGGCGACUUACUGGACUGCUACUGACACUGAGGCACGAAAGCGUGGGGAGCAAACAGGAUUAGAUACCCUGGUAGUCCACGCCGUGAACGAUGAAUACUAGGUGUCGGGGCCCAAAGGGCUUCGGUGCCGCAGCCAACGCAAUAAGUAUUCCACCUGGGGAGUACGUUCGCAAGAAUG
rnacentral:rRNA from 1 species